UAUACCCGUGGCUUGAUUACAGAUGUUUCAGUUAAACAUUUCCUGCAUAAAGACAACGUAUAAAAUGAUCCCAUAUAUCGCCUAUAUGUUUUUGUAUAUAAAUAUAUGUAAAGUGCUAUUUAUUGAUAUUGUUUCAUGCUGAUACACUGUCAUAUUAUAGCGCACAGAAUUCUGUAACUUAACGACAUAUUAAAAAGUAUAAAGUAAUUAUUAGCUUAGUUAUGGAGCAAUUUAGGCCUAUUAUUGCACAUUAUUAGAAGAGCUAAAUGUAAUUAUAGAUUAUUUGUAAGGCAUGUCUGUUGAGACAAGGAGAAAGUGACUUGGGGACAGGGAGAGUACUUUCACCUUCACCUAUCCCUUAGUCUUUUGGACUGUUGGGACACCACACACGAUCUGUCGACCAUUUUUUUCCAUUCCUCUCUAUCUUUCGCAACCGUGUGAACUCGUUGUAGUCAUUAUCGACAUGUCACUUUCAAGUGCUCUAUCGAACCUUUGUAUUUUAUUUUCGGUAUUCAAAAAAAAAAACAAACGCAGUCUACAUAUAUCUAACGCAUUUUUUAAAAAUUAAAAUUAAAAUUUUUUUUCUUUCUCCCUAAGUCUACUUAUUUUUAAUAUGCCUUAAGUCAUUUCCACUUCCUUUUAGACGCGGUCUAAAUGUUAAAAACAAAUUCUAUUAGCAUUAAUAAGAUAGAUCUAGAGACUUUUUCAUACUUUCUUUCUUUUUUUUUUUUUGAGAGAGAGAGUGCAAAUAAUGAUACUUUGUAACACUGUCAGAAAAAAACAACAAAAAUAACAUCUAAUUAUAAUAGUAUUGAAAAGACAAACCUAGAUCUAUUGUCAAUUUGCUACAUUCAAAUGGGGUCAAAUAAACGAUUGCAAUUAAUAAAAC